AGUAACACGUGAGCAACCUGCCCCUGACUCUGGGAUAAGCGCUGGAAACGGCGUCUAAUACCGGAUAUGAGCUGCGAUCGCAUGGUCAGCAGUUGGAAAGAUUUUUCGGUCUGGGAUGGGCUCACGGCCUAUCAGCUUGUUGGUGAGGUAAUGGCUCACCAAGGCGUCGACGGGUAGCCGGCCUGAGAGGGUGACCGGCCACACUGGGACUGAGACACGGCCCAGACUCCUACGGGAGGCAGCAGUGGGGAAUAUUGCACAAUGGGCGAAAGCCUGAUGCAGCAACGCCGCGUGAGGGAUGACGGCCUUCGGGUUGUAAACCUCUUUUAGCAGGGAAGAAGCGAAAGUGACGGUACCUGCAGAAAAAGCGCCGGCUAACUACGUGCCAGCAGCCGCGGUAAUACGUAGGGCGCAAGCGUUAUCCGGAAUUAUUGGGCGUAAAGAGCUCGUAGGCGGUUUGUCGCGUCUGCUGUGAAAUCCCGAGGCUCAACCUCGGGUCUGCAGUGGGUACGGGCAGACUAGAGUGCGGUAGGGGAGAUUGGAAUUCCUGGUGUAGCGGUGGAAUGCGCAGAUAUCAGGAGGAACACCGAUGGCGAAGGCAGAUCUCUGGGCCGUUACUGACGCUGAGGAGCGAAAGGGUGGGGAGCAAACAGGCUUAGAUACCCUGGUAGUCCACCCCGUAAACGUUGGGAACUAGUUGUGGGGUCCAUUCCACGGAUUCCGUGACGCAGCUAACGCAUUAAGUUCCCCGCCUGGGGAGUACGGCCCGCAAGGCUAAAACUCAAAGGAAUUGACGGGGACCCGCACAAGCGGCGGGAGCAUGCGGAUUAAAUUCGAUGCAACCGCGAAGAACCUUACCCAAGGCUUUGACAUAUACGAGAACGGG
rnacentral:rRNA from 1 species